rnacentral:rRNA from 1 species
AUGGCUCAGGAUGAACGCUAGCUACAGGCUUAACACAUGCAAGUCGAGGGGCAGCAGGAUCUAGCAAUAGAUUGCUGGCGACCGGCGCACGGGUGAGUAACACGUAUCCAACCUGCCGAUAACUCGGGGAUAGCCUUUCGAAAGAAAGAUUAAUACCCGAUAGUAUAAUCAGACCGCAUGGUUUGAUUAUUAAAGAAUUUCGGUUAUCGAUGGGGAUGCGUUCCAUUAGGCAGUUGGUGAGGUAACGGCUCACCAAACCUUCGAUGGAUAGGGGUUCUGAGAGGAAGGUCCCCCCCAUUGGAACUGAGACACGGUCCAAACUCCUACGGGAGGCAGCAGUGAGGAAUAUUGGUCAAUGGACGCGAGUCUGAACCAGCCAAGUAGCGUGAAGGAUGACUGCCCUAUGGGUUGUAAACUUCUUUUAUAUGGGAAUAAAGUUUUCCACGUGUGGAAUUUUGUAUGUACCAUAUGAAUAAGGAUCGGCUAACUCCGUGCCAGCAGCCGCGGUAAUACGGAGGAUCCGAGCGUUAUCCGGAUUUAUUGGGUUUAAAGGGAGCGUAGGUGGACAGUUAAGUCAGUUGUGAAAGUUUGCGGCUCAACCGUAAAAUUGCAGUUGAUACUGGCUGUCUUGAGUACAGUAGAGGUGGGCGGAAUUCGUGGUGUAGCGGUGAAAUGCUUAGAUAUCACGAAGAACUCCGAUUGCGAAGGCAGCUCACUGGACUGCAACUGACACUGAUGCUCGAAAGUGUGGGUAUCAAACAGGAUUAGAUACCCUGGUAGUCCACACAGUAAACGAUGGAUACUCGCUGUUUGCGAUAUACAGUAAGCGGCCAAGCGAAAGCAUUAAGUAUUCCACCUGGGGAGUACGCCGGCAACGGUGAAACUCAAAGGAAUUGACGGGGGCCCGCACAAGCGGAGGAACAUGUGGUUUAAUUCGAUGAUACGCGAGGAACCUUACCCGGGCUUAAAUUGCAUUUGAAUAUAUUGGCAACAGUAUAGCCGUAAGGCAAAUGUGAAGGUGCUGCAUGGUUGUCGUCAGCUCGUGCCGUGAGGUGUCGGCUUAAGUGCCAUAACGAGCGCAACCCUUAUCUUUAGUUACUAACAGGUCAUGCUGAGGACUCUAGAGAGACUGCCGUCGUAAGAUGUGAGGAAGGUGGGGAUGACGUCAAAUCAGCACGGCCCUUACGUCCGGGGCUACACACGUGUUACAAUGGGGGGUACAGAAGGCAGCUACCUGGUGACAGGAUGCUAAUCCCAAAAGCCUCUCUCAGUUCGGAUCGAAGUCUGCAACCCGACUUCGUGAAGCUGGAUUCGCUAGUAAUCGCGCAUCAGCCAUGGCGCGGUGAAUACGUUCCCGGGCCUUGUACACACCGCCCGUCAAGCCAUGAAAGCCGGGGGUACCUGAAGUACGUAACCGCAAGGAGCGUCCUAGGGUAAAACUGGUAA